rnacentral:misc_RNA from 1 species
AAGUCGUAACAAGGUUUCCGUAGGUGAACCUGCGGAAGGAUCAUUAACGAAUUACUGGAGAGUUGAUGCUGGCAAUAAACUAAUUGCAAGUGCUCACUGUCUUAAUUUCAUCUGCACCUGUGCACUCUUGUAUACAUGCUUGAAAGGGGCCCAAGUGGCUUGGUUCAGGCAUGUAGACAAAUCUCACAAACUCUUUAUAAUAAAUCCUGAAUGUUCUUUUGCUGCAUAGGCAAAAACUUUAUAACAA